rnacentral:rRNA from 1 species
UACGAAGGGGGCUAGCGUUGCUCGGAAUCACUGGGCGUAAAGGGCGCGUAGGCGGCCUUCUAAGGCGAACGUGAAAUCCCUGGGCUCAACCCAGGAACUGCGUCCGAUACUGGAAGGCUUGAAUCCGGGAGAGGGAUGCGGAAUUCCAGGUGUAGCGGUGAAAUGCGCAGAUAUCAGGAGGAACACCGGUGGCGAAGGCGGAUCUCUGGGCCUUACCUGACGCUCAGGUGCGAAAGCUAGGGGAGCGAACAGG